rnacentral:rRNA from 1 species
CUCAGAUACGAACGCUGGCGGCAGGCCUAACACAUGCAAGUCGAACGGAUCCUUCGGGAUUAGUGGCAGACGGGUGAGUAACGCGUGGGAAGCUACCUUGUGGUAGGGAACAACAGUUGGAAACGACUGCUAAUACCCUAUGAGCCCUAUGGGGGAAAGAUUUAUCGCCAUGAGAUGUGCCCGCGUUAGAUUAGCUAGUUGGUAAGGUAAUGGCUUACCAAGGCGACGAUCUAUAGCUGGUCUGAGAGGAUGAUCAGCCACACUGGGACUGAGACACGGCCCAGACUCCUACGGGAGGCAGCAGUGGGGAAUAUUGGACAAUGGGGGCAACCCUGAUCCAGCCAUGCCGCGUGAGUGAUGACGGCCUUAGGGUUGUAAAGCUCUUUCAGCAGUGAAGAUAAUGACAUUAACUGCAGAAGAAGCCCCGGCUAACUUCGUGCCAGCAGCCGCGGUAAUACGAAGGGGGCUAGCGUUGUUCGGAAUCACUGGGCGUAAAGCGUACGUAGGCGGACUGAUCAGUCAGGGGUGAAAUCCCGGGGCUCAACCCCGGAACUGCCUUUGAUACUGUCAGUCUUGAGAUCGAGAGAGGUGAGUGGAACUCCGAGUGUAGAGGUGAAAUUCGUAGAUAUUCGGAAGAACACCAGUGGCGAAGGCGGCUCACUGGCUCGAUACUGAC